ensembl:lncRNA
AUUUACAGAAAGAUAAAGCACACCUGAAAAAUGCCCUCAUAAGACCAACUAAAUGAUCAAUAAAGUAAAUUAGUAUUUUAAGACUAAUGACUUCUUCACCGCAAGACAAUGGCUAAAAGAACAUAGGUUCAAAAUGUAUAGAGAAAUGCUUCCUCCACCACGAGUCAGCCUCCUCAUUUUCUGCAGCAUUUUCCAUCUGUGUCAUUGGCGUAGUACACACGUGCCUGACCUAGAUGUUUACUGGCAUUUGCAGCAUCGUGAUUAUCUUCCUCAUCAUUAUCUUUGAAGCCCAACUGAAAUGAUGCCCUGUAACUACGGGUCUGUGAGUUGUUUUGGAACAGGAUGUAUCAGCCUGUCAGCAUUGUUUGAGAGCUCAAGAACUAUUUGCUGACUAGCUAAAGAAUCUUCAGGUUGAAACAGAAUCUUAAAGAUCUGAGGUAAAUGAAUACAGUUAAGUGUAACUGAAGAGGAACCGGUAAGAAAAGCAACAGAACUGAAGAAUAGCAAUUUCCCCGAGAGAGAGAGAGUGAAAGAAAAAGUUCUGUAGGGUUGGAAGUCUUGCCCAAAGGGGAACACUUCCAACAGAUCCAGGACACCCGGGAAGAAUCCCAUCCAAUUAUAAGUAGAUUGAUUUUUUACGAUUUCACCAGCAACUGGCGGGCUGCAACAUCACGGAGCUGUUUGAAAUCAUCAUAUUACUCAAUGCACUUAUUCAACAAUGAGUAAUUAAAAGAUGAAGAUACGGUCUCAAGGAUACUCUGAUGGGCAAUAAAAUUGCACAAGUAACUGACUGAAGUACAUGCUAAAUCAAGAGAGGUACUACUAUGAAGCAACUUUGCAGAAGUAACUCAUGUUACUAACUGUCAGAUUUUAAAACUGGGAAAUUAUCCUGAAUUAUCUGAGUUGUUUACAAUACAAUCACAUGAGCCCUUAAAUGCAGAAGAGGAAGGUGGGAGCGAUGAGGCAAAAGUCAGAAAAAUUUAAAACAUGAGAGGAAAUGACUUACCAUUGUCGACUCUGAGAAUGGAGAAAGGGGAACAUGACCAAAAAAUUCAGUCUAAUUCAAGAAGCUGGAAUGAUCCUUGGUUGACAGCCAGAAAGGAAAUAAGGAAUUCAGCCCUACAACCCCAUUGAACUAAGUUCUACCAACGCCUGGAGUGAAAUGAGAAAAGAUUCUCCUCAGGCUCCAGAUAGGAACACAGUCCUGCUGACACUUUUAUCUCCACCUUCAGAGACUCUAUCAGAGAACCAGCUGAGCGACACUGUGCUCAGACUUCCAAUCCAUGUCAACAGUGAGACAAAAAUCACUGAGGUGAUGUCAACAUCAUACCAGAGUGAGUUGUUCCCUUUGUCUCCCCAUCUAAGUCACAAUCUGCAGGACAUCCGUUGACCAACAAAGGACUCCCUGCAUAGCACACCAGAAUGCCUCAGAGACCCGUGCAUCUAUACAUCUGAGGGUAGGUGGACUGGACCUCCAGGAGUCAGUGGAACUAGGGGAGCAGCGCCCUCCCCCUCACCUACUGGCAGUGAUCCAAAAGGCAGAUACUCCAGGCAGUGGUGGUGGAACCCUGACCUGAU